CCUACGGGAGGCAGCAGUGGGGAAUAUUGCACAAUGGGGGAAACCCUGAUGCAGCGACGCCGCGUGAGUGAAGAAGUAAUUCGUUAUGUAAAGCUCUAUCAGCAGGGAAGAAAAUGACGGUACCUGAGUAAGAAGUCCCGGCUAACUACGUGCCAGCAGCCGCGGUAAUACGUAGGGGGCAAGCGUUAUCCGGAUUUACUGGGUGGAAAGGGAGCGUAGACGGCAGUGCAAGUCUGGAGUGAAAGGCGGGGGCUCAACCCCCGGACUGCUCUGGAAACUGUACGGCUGGAGUGCAGGAGAGGUAAGUGGAAUUCCUGGUGUAGCGGUGAAAUGCGUAGAUAUUAGGAGGAACACCAGGGGCGAAGGCGGCUUACUGGACUGUAACUGACGUUGAGGCUCGAAAGCGUGGGGAGCAAACAGGAUUAGAUACCCGAGUAGUC
rnacentral:rRNA from 1 species